UGCAGUCAAGUCAAAUUCAGCCCCUGUUCCUGCUAUAGCAGGGGCUGGCCCGGAUGGCUGCCACAGCAAGCUCUGUAGCUCAUGGGCCCCAAGUCCCCUGUCCUGGGGCCUGGGGAUAAGUUUGGCUGCAGACAUUG